CCCGCCGAUCUGGAAGUUUCCAGCACUGGGUAUAAAUAUAAGCUCCCACAUUUUAAUUCAUUAUUUCUCCCAAGAACAGACCCUAUAUCUCUCUAGAACCCUCUAAAACUCUCUCUCUAAUUCUACAACAAUCUAUACCAAGAAAUCAAGAGCAAAAGCCAAGAUUUAAGAGAUUCAUAUACUAGGAAGCCUAUUAGGGUUUGUGAAGGGUAAGAAUUCCUAUGACAUACAAGUGGAAGAUUUCAUUCUAAUGAAGUAGAGUAACUCAAGGCUUAUUCCAAGUGAUUAAGCAGAACGUGAUAUAGCAAAGCAUCAAGUUCAAUUAUUCAAGAGCUCAGAUAAAUUUGAAAUGGAAUGUAACUGCGAGAUAUGUUCCUUUGUUGGAUUUGACGGUGAGACAACCUUCUGUUCAUUAUGUUUUUCGCUCUAGAAUUUAACUCUUUUUCUUACUUCAAUUGGGUGUUUGGAAAUAUAUGUACUUCUUGUGGUUGUUGAAAAAGUUACCAGCAUAUCACUUCAUAGAAUUUUUCCACAUUUGAUUAUCGAAUUCUCUGAAUUAUAUCUGAC